CGUUGUUCGGAUUUACUGGGCGUAAAGCGCACGUAGGCGGAUCGUUCAGUCGGGGGUGAAAUCCUGGAGCUCAACUCCAGAACUGCCUUCGAUACUGGCGAUCUUGAGUUCGGAAGAGGUGAGUGGAACUCCUAGUGUAGAGGUGGAAUUCGUAGAUAUUAGGAAGAACACCAGUGGCGAAGGCGGCUCACUGGCCCGGUACUGACGCUGAGGUGCGAAAGCGUGGGGAGCAAACAGG
rnacentral:rRNA from 1 species